GAGCGCCGUAUGCUGGGAAACUAGCACGUACGGUGUGGAGCAGGGGAAAAGCUGGAGAUGGCUUCAAAGGUUUACCUAUUGCUAAC
rfam:Bacillus akibai JCM 9157 DNA, contig:contig_20.